rnacentral:rRNA from 1 species
UAAGCGACUAAGCGUACACGGUGGAUGCCCUGGCAGUCAGAGGCGAUGAAGGACGUGCUAAUCUGCGAAAAGCGUCGGUAAGGUGAUAUGAACCGUUAUAACCGGCGAUGUCCGAAUGGGGAAACCCAGUGCAAUUCGUUGCACUAUCGUUAACUGAAUACAUAGGUUAACGAGGCGAACCGGGGGAACUGAAACAUCUAAGUACCCCGAGGAAAAGAAAUCAACCGAGAUUCCCCCAGUAGCGGCGAGCGAACGGGGAGCAGCCCAGAGUCUGAAUCAGCUUGUGUGUUAGUGGAACGGUCUGGAAAGUCCGACGGUACAGGGUGAUAGUCCCGUACACCAAAAUGCACAGGUUGUGAACUCGAAGAGUAGGGCGGGACACGUGGUAUCCUGUCUGAAUAUGGGGGGACCAUCCUCCAAGGCUAAAUACUCCUGACUGACCGAUAGUGAACCAGUACCGUGAGGGAAAGGCGAAAAGAACCCCGGCGAGGGGAGUGAAAAAGAACCUGAAACCGUGUACGUACAAGCAGUGGGAGCACCUUCGGGUGUGACUGCGUACCUUUUGUAUAAUGGGUCAGCGACUUAUAUUCUGUAGCAAGGUUAACCGUAUAGGGGAGCCGCAGGGAAACCGAGUCUUAACUGGGCGUUAAGUUGCAGGGUAUAGACCCGAAACCCGGUGAUCUAGCCAUGGGCAGGUUGAAGGUUGGGUAACACUAACUGGAGGACCGAACCGACUAAUGUUGAAAAAUUAGCGGAUGACUUGUGGCUGGGGGUGAAAGGCCAAUCAAACCGGGAGAUAGCUGGUUCUCCCCGAAAGCUAUUUAGGUAGCGCCUCGUGAACUCAUCUUCGGGGGUAGAGCACUGUUUCGGCUAGGGGGUCAUCCCGACUUACCAACCCGAUGCAAACUACGAAUACCGAAGAAUGUUAUCACGGGAGACACACGGCGGGUGCUAACGUCCGUCGUGAAGAGGGAAACAACCCAGACCGCCAGCUAAGGUCCCAAAGUCAUGGUUAAGUGGGAAACGAUGUGGGAAGGCACAGACAGCCAGGAUGUUGGCUUAGAAGCAGCCAUCAUUUAAAGAAAGCGUAAUAGCUCACUGGUCGAGUCGGCCUGCGCGGAAGAUGUAACGGGGCUAAACCAUGCACCGAAGCUGCGGCAGCGACACUAUGUGUUGUUGGGUAGGGGAGCGUUCUGUAAGCCUGCGAAGGUGACCUGUGAGGGUUGCUGGAGGUAUCAGAAGUGCGAAUGCUGACAUAAGUAACGAUAAAGCGGGUGAAAUGCCCGCUCGCCGGAAGACCAAGGGUUCCUGUCCAACGUUAAUCGGGGCAGGGUGAGUCGACCCCUAAGGCGAGGCCGAAAGGCGUAGUCGAUGGGAAACAGGUUAAUAUUCCUGUACUUGGUGUUACUGCGAAGGGGGGACGGAGAAGGCUAUGUUAGCCGGGCGACGGUUGUCCCGGUUUAAGCAUGUAGGCUGGUUGUCCAGGCAAAUCCGGAUAAUCAAGGCUGAGGUGUGAUGACGAGGCACUACGGUGCUGAAGUAACAAAUGCCCUGCUUCCAGGAAAAGCCUCUAAGCAUCAGGUAACAUUAAAUCGUACCCCAAACCGACACAGGUGGUCAGGUAGAGAAUACCAAGGCGCUUGAGAGAACUCGGGUGAAGGAACUAGGCAAAAUGGUGCCGUAACUUCGGGAGAAGGCACGCUGGUGUGUAGGUGAAGUCCCUGCGGAUGGAGCUGAGACCAGUCGAAGAUACCAGCUGGCUGCAACUGUUUAUUAAAAACACAGCACUGUGCAAACACGAAAGUGGACGUAUACGGUGUGACGCCUGCCCGGUGCCGGAAGGUUAAUUGAUGGGGUUAUCCGUAAGGAGAAGCUCUUGAUCGAAGCCCCGGUAAACGGCGGCCGUAACUAUAACGGUCCUAAGGUAGCGAAAUUCCUUGUCGGGUAAGUUCCGACCUGCACGAAUGGCGUAAUGAUGGCCAGGCUGUCUCCACCCGAGACUCAGUGAAAUUGAACUCGCUGUGAAGAUGCAGUGUACCCGCGGCAAGACGGAAAGACCCCGUGAACCUUUACUAUAGCUUGACACUGAACAUUGAGCCUUGAUGUGUAGGAUAGGUGGGAGGCUUUGAAGCGUGGACGCCAGUCUGCGUGGAGCCAACCUUGAAAUACCACCCUUUAAUGUUUGAUGUUCUAACGUUGGCCCCUGACCGGGGUUGCGGACAGUGUCUGGUGGGUAGUUUGACUGGGGCGGUCUCCUCCCAAAGCGUAACGGAGGAGCACGAAGGUUAGCUAAUCCUGGUCGGACAUCAGGAGGUUAGUGCAAUGGCAUAAGCUAGCUUGACUGCGAGCGUGACGGCGCGAGCAGGUGCGAAAGCAGGUCAUAGUGAUCCGGUGGUUCUGAAUGGAAGGGCCAUCGCUCAACGGAUAAAAGGUACUCCGGGGAUAACAGGCUGAUACCGCCCAAGAGUUCAUAUCGACGGCGGUGUUUGGCACCUCGAUGUCGGCUCAUCACAUCCUGGGGCUGAAGUAGGUCCCAAGGGUAUGGCUGUUCGCCAUUUAAAGUGGUACGCGAGCUGGGUUUAGAACGUCGUGAGACAGUUCGGUCCCUAUCUGCCGUGGGCGCUGGAGAAUUGAGGGGGGCUGCUCCUAGUACGAGAGGACCGGAGUGGACGCAUCACUGGUGUUCGGGUUGUCAUGCCAAUGGCACUGCCCGGUAGCUAAAUGCGGAAGAGAUAAGUGCUGAAAGCAUCUAAGCACGAAACUUGCCCCGAGAUGAGUUCUCCCUGAGACUUUAAGUCUCCUGAAGGAACGUUGAAGACGACGACGUUGAUAGGCCGGGUGUGUAAGCGCAGCGAUGCGUUGAGCUAACCGGUACUAAUGAACCGUGAGGCUUAACCU